GUGCCUUUGGCAGUACAUAAAUUAUAAUUAGAACAAUACAGAGAAGAUUAGCAUGGCCCCUGAACAAGGAGGACACAAAAAUUUCUGAAGUGUUCCAUAUUUUU
rfam:Octopus bimaculoides Scaffold67552_contig_77, whole genome shotgun sequence.